ACGGUUCAGGAAUUUGCCAAAAGGUUAAAUCUUAACGAUUUUUCUCUAUAUUUCAAUCUAUAUUUUAUUAAUUGUGGGUGUUUUAAAUCCAUUUUCAUGUAAUUACUUUUAAUUGUUAUUGUUAACACUUUCUAUGUCCUAGCACUAAAGGGGUAAAAAGCUUUCCUGCUAAGGCCAUUGACAUUGUAUCACUUAAAGACUUAGAACACAAUAAAAGCACUGCUAAAAGGUUUUCGAAAUACCCAAAAAACAAAUUAAGAACCCCCUUCAGAAAAAAUUAGUAGCAUAAGUAGUCUAAAUAAAAUAAAAGUCCCCAAAAGCUAGCUAGCCCCAAAGACACGAUUCCCUCUAGAAAAGAUUAUUUGACAUCACUAAUUAGUCCUUUGCUUCAGUAGCUGCUUCAGUAGCUCCUUCAUCGAAGAGCCACUCCUUAGUCCUCCUCCUAGCCGUUUUGUUGAAAGAAUUCUGAGUAGUUGAUGGUAAGUUAGGUCUAUUUCUCAUCCACCCUUUAAACAUGUUAGCUAUGUUUUUAGUGCUUGAUGCAUAGUGGAUGCUAGUUUUGCACAAGAGUGGUCUGCACCAGAGUGUUUCGACUCAAUUAUUAAGCUGCUUUGUUUCUUUGGGGACAUGGCCUCAUGUAGAACUUGGCUGGCUGUGUGGAUGUCAGUUUGAAGCCUUCUCUCCCAUUGACUGUCUGUGAAACUGUUGAUUAUAACUCAUCCUUAGAGUGAGCUUAAUGGCCUGUAGUUUGGAGCUUUAUGAGCUCCUUCUUCAAAUGGGUAUCCAAUAGUUCUUAAUGCCAUUAUUUGUUCUGUGUGGAAGGUAUGCAGCCAUGGCUGCCUAUCUACAAGACUGCAACGCUAUCAAUUAAUGCUUCCCCAUUAAUUUCUUUUCAGGAACCAACUCAAUCCAGCCCAACAUAAACAAUGGUACUUAGGUCAUUUCAGUGUCACUAUAAUAUUGAUUUUAUUGCAUUAAUUUCUACUAGUAUGAUUGGAUAAGAAAGGGUAAAUACAUAUGAUUGAAAAAGCAAAAUAAAGGUACAUUUAUAAAGCAACAAAAUAAAGGUACAUUGAUAUGUUGACUUUUACUUGUUGUCUAAAAGGGCUUGAAGGUGGAUUAUCUUCUCCUCAUGGUCUGUAAAAUUGCCACGCUUAGUAACUGGCCUGAGACAAUUAGUCCAUCUAAACCUGCAACUCUUACUGCAUCUAA
rnacentral:misc_RNA from 1 species